ACCCUAAUUGUGCCUUUUUCUCGAUCCAACAUCUUCGUCUUCAAAAAAAAUGGCGGACCACCACCAUCCACGUCCACAACUGACACCAUCAUCGUACUAACAUACCACUACUAGCACUAACCAUCUCUGAACAGGCACUGCCACUCAAGACACAACCGUUCACGUCCGUCGUACCCAUCGUCCCCUUUUCUGCCGCCCAUAUUUAUAUUCAGAACCAUCAUCGACGUCCUAUUUCAUAUGUUUUUUUCGAGCAGAUGCAUCAAGAAUUUAAGUUACAGAUUAGCAGAUGCAUCAAGAUUUUAAAUUCCAAGUUUUGAUCGAUGAUUAUAGAAAGUAAUCUCUAUUCAUGGUUUUAGAAUCAGUCAUGCAUCGACUCAAAAGGAAAAAGAAAGGAUUCGGGUACGGUUGUAACCAGAAAAAAGAAUCAUAAAGGCGAGUGUUGAAAGUAAAACCAGGUAAAAAUAGGAAAUGUGAUGCGCAAUAAUGAAGGUUGAAGGUUUAAUCUCUCAUUAUUGUCUUCUCUCAUAAGUCAUAUCAAUGUGACUUUACCCCAAACCCCAAAAUAAAGUAUUUAUUUAUUGUUUUUAUGAAUUUUGUUUAAUGAAUACAUAUUGUAUAUAUUUCAAAUAAUAGGUAUCUUUAUUGUUGUUACUUUGAAUAUUAGUCCAUAGUGGAGAAUGAUUAUA